GCGGAGGAAAAGAAACCAACAGGGAUUACCUCAGUAACGGCGAGUGAAGCGGUAACAGCUCAAAUUUGAAAUCUGGGUCUUUCAGGCUCCGAGUUGUAAUUUGUAGAAGAUGCUUCGGGUGCGGCUCCGGUCUAAGUUCCUUGGAACAGGACGUCAUAGAGGGUGAGAAUCCCGUAUGUGAUCGGCUGCUUGCGCCCAUGUGAAGCUCUUUCGACGAGUCGAGUUGUUUGGGAAUGCAGCUCAAAAUGGGUGGUAAAUUUCAUCUAAAGCUAAAUAUUGGCCAGAGACCGAUAGCGCACAAGUAGAGUGAUCGAAAGAUGAAAAGCACUUUGGAAAGAGAGUUAAACAGUACGUGAAAUUGUUGAAAGGGAAGCGCUUGCAACCAGACUUGCGCGUUGCCGAUCAUCCGGGGUUCUCCCCGGUGCACUCGGCUUCGCUCAGGCCAGCAUCGGUUUCGGUGGUGGGAUAAAGGCCUUGGGAAUGUAGCUUCUUUCGGGGAGUGUUAUAGCCCUCGGUGCAAUGCCGCCUACCGGGACCGAGGAC
rnacentral:rRNA from 1 species